GAUGUGUCUUUAUAGUUAAACUCUGGCUGAGCCAGUGACGCCUAGGAAGAGUCUAGGUGACAACCAAGAAAGUUUGGUGACGACUGGAGAGACAGAUGACAGCUCGGAAAGACGGCUCCAGGGGCAGGGUGGGCUAGCAUCCCGGUCUGCAGUUUUCGUGAGAAAGCACCCCAAAAAGCUACGGAAAGCCCUAAAGAAAGAUACCCCCAGGAGAUCCCGAGAGGGGGGGAGGAUGAGGUCUCCAAUCGGACGGACUUAAGGUUAACGACCAACGCAAUGGAAAGGACUACGAGUAAGACAUGUAUCUGCGGCAAGCUGUGUAAGAACCAGCGUGGCCUAAAGGUCCAUCAGGCUAGAAUGAAAUGUUUGGAGCGGGAGAGUGAGGUGCAACGCACAGGUCCUGAACCUGGUGAGACGCAGGAGGAGCCCGGCCAGGAGGCACCCCACAGAGCCCAGUCCCUCCAUGCACUGGACUCUUCCAAUCCAAGCAGUGUAGUUCCACAACAGCGGAUUAAGUGGCCCCCAGCCAGCAGUCAGAGCGAGUGGCAGAAGUUUGAUGAGGAUGUCUCCAACAUCAUACAAGCUGUGGCCAAAAGAGAUGCCGACAGCAGGCUUAAAACAAUGACCACCAUCAUAGUCAGCUACGCCUCAGAAAGGUUCGGCCUGAUCGAGAAGUGUAACAACAAGACCCCUUACACCAUGAACCGCAGGGCCAUGAAGAUUCAUCAACUGCGCCAGGAGCUCAGGAGCCUUAAGAAGCAGUUCAAGAACGCUGAUGCGGAGGAGAAGCAAGCUUUAGAGGAACUGCAUAACAUCUUGCGGAAGAAGUUGAUUACCCUCCGUAGAGCAGAAUGGCACAGAAGGCGAGGAAGAGAGAGAGCCAGGAAACGUGCAGCUUUUAUUGCUGAUCCCUUUCGCUUUUCCAAACAAUUGCUUGGGGUUAAGCGAAGUGGGCAGUUGGAGUGCUCAGCAGAGGAGGUGAAUAACUUCCUUCAUGAGACAAUGAGUGACCCAUUGAGGGAACAAGACUUGGGACCAAACAAAGCUCUCAUCAACCCUGCCCCACCAUCAGCAGAGUUCAAGUUGACGGAGCCAAGUUUGAAGGAGGUGUGUGAGGUCAUCAAAGCAGCCCGCUCAGCAUCCUCCCCAGGUCCCAGUGGCGUACCCUACCUUGUCUAUAAGCGCUGCCCAGAGCUGCUUCGCCACCUGUGGAAGAUCUUAAAGGUGAUAUGGCGGAGAGGGAGAGUUGCUGAUCAGUGGAGGUGCGCAGAGGGAGUCUGGAUUCCCAAAGAGGAGGAUUCGAAAAACAUAAACCAGUUUCGGAGCAUCUCGCUAUUGAGCGUGGAGGGGAAGGUGUUUUUUAGCGUUGUCUCCCGGAGAUUGACCGAGUUUCUCCUUAGAAACAAUUACAUUGAUCCAUCAGUUCAGAAGGGGGGAUCCCAGGAGUUCCUGGUUGCCUAGAGCACACUGGUGUAGUUACACACCUUAUAAGAGAAGCCCAUGAGAACAGAGGCGACCUAGCUGUAUUGUGGCUGGACCUGACUAAUGCGUAUGGGUCGAUCCCACACAAACUGGUUGAGCAUGCUUUACACCUCCACCAUGUUCCCAGCAAGAUCAAGGACCUGAUCCUGGACUAUUACGCCAAUUUCAGGCUUAGGGUCACUUCUAGGGCAGUUACUUCAGAUUGGCACCGACUCGGGAAAGGUAUAAUAACAGGCUGUACCAUCUCAGUUACGCUCUUUGCCCUGGCAAUGAACAUGGUGGUAAAGGCUGCGGAGGUGGAGUGCAGAGGGCCGUUAACAAGGUCAGGUGUUCGUCAGCCCCCUAUCAGAGCCUAUAUGGAUGACCUCACCAUUACAACAUCAUCAGUUCCCGGGUGUAGGUGGAUCUUGCAAGGUCUUGAGAGACUCAUCUCAUGGGCAAGGAUGAGUUUUAAACCUUCCAAGUCAAGAUCGAUGGUACUGAAGAAGGGCAAGGUGACGGACAAGUUCCGGUUCUCAAUUUCAGGAACCAUUAUUCCAUCCAUAACGGAACAACCAGUUAAGAGCUUGGGGAAACUCUUUGACUCCAGCCUGAAAGACUCUACUGCUAUUCAGAAGGCAAAUGAGGAGCUGGGAGCGUGGCUUAUUAAGGUGGAUAAGUCCGGCCUGCCUGGAAGAUUUAAAGCCUGGAUCUACCAGCAUUCAAUCCUGCCCCGAAUCCUGUGGCCCUUGCUUGUCUAUACAGUUCCAAUAACUACUGUGGAAUCCCUUGAAAGAAAGAUCAGUGGCUUUCUUCGUAAGUGGCUGGGACUUCCCCGCAGUCUCACCAGCGCUGCCUUGUAUGGGACAAGCAACAGCGUGCAGUUACCCUUUAGUGGUCUCACAGAAGAGUUCAAGGUGGCUCGCACACGAGAAGCCCUACAGUACAGAGAUUCUAAAGACUGCAAGGUGGCAUUAGCAGGUAUUGAGGUAAGGACAGGAAGAAAGUGGAAGGCUGAGAAGGCAGUUGAGGUGGCGGAGUCACGCCUAAGGCAGAAAACACUGAUGGGGGUCUUAGCAACAGGGGGAGCAGGCUUGGGUAUGUCCCAAAGGCCCAGGUCAGCAGGGCACAGGGAAAGGAGAGACGCCAGCUACUCCAGGAAGAGGUCCGAGCAGGUGUGGAGGAGGAGCGAGUAAGUAGAGCUGUAGGCCUUAAGCGGCAGGGAGCAUGGACAAGGGGGGAGAGCACCUUGCAGCGCAAGGUCACCUGGGCAAACAUCAUGCAGGCAGACUUCCACCGGAUCCGAUUCCUAGUGCAGGCAGUAUACGACACUCUGCCAAGCCCAGCAAACCUCCAUCUGUGGGGAAAGAGCGAGACACCUGCCUGUCCCCUGUGCUCUGGAAGAGGGACCCUAGAACACCUCCUUAGCAGCUGCCCAAGGGCCCUGGCCGAUGGUCGGUAUCGUUGGCGGCACGACCAGGUGCUCAGAGUAGUUGCUGAAAAGAUUGCCUCAGCAAUCAGCACCAGCAAGCAUCAUCAUGCUCCGAGGAAGGCAAUCUCUUUUAUUAAGGCUGGAGAGAAACCCCAGGUGCGCCCACAUUUGACAACUGGCCUCCUCAACACAGCCUCUGAUUGGCAGCUACAGGCUGACCUGGGUAAACAACUAAAGUUCCCUCAGAACAUUGCAAAAACAUCACUCCGGCCAGACAUGAUAAUUAUUUCUGAGGCCUCAAAACAGCUGAUCAUGCUGGAACUCACAGUGCCCUGGGAAGAGCGGAUUGAGGAGGCCAAUGAAAGGAAACGAGGAAAGUACCAGGAACUAGUGCAGGAGUGCAGGGGAAGGGGCUGGAAGACUUUCUAUGAGCCCAUAGAAGUGGGUUGUAGGGGCUUUGCAGGACGAUCACUCUGCAAAGCCCUAGGGCGGCUGGGCGUGGCUGGGGCAGCCAAGAAGAGGGCCAUCCAGGCUGUGAGUGAAGCGGCAGAGAAAGCCACAAGGUGGCUGUGGAUCAAGAGGGCUGAUCCGUGGGUAGCUACUGGUACGCAAGUCGGGGCUUGAUCACCCCCGGCUGGGUCGCCUGGGCGAGGGUGUAUGAUGUUGUGAGACCCGAAACACCUGAUGACCCUAGGAUACAUCACUGAAGAUGCGUACCAGUGCAUCCAGGAGAUGUGUCUU